rnacentral:lncRNA from 1 species
AGAUGGCUCUUCCAUGGUCUCGUCGGCGCUGAAACUCAGAGCAUGGGCUUCAAUGCUUGUAAAGGCUCAAUUUCAAGACUUUUUUGAGAGUAAAAGGAAGGAAGGGAGAGCUUAGGAUGACAGAAAUAAUUGUAUACAACCUCAUAUAUGAAUGGAUGAAUGAAUAGAUUUGGCAAAACCUCAAGAAGCUGAAUCAAUCUGUUGGAAUACCUAGCCCACCACUUUGCACAUGUGAGGACCUUAGGAAACAGUUCCUAAAUGUUGUCAUGUUCCUUUAAUCAUAUGUCUUGGCUGCAAAAUAUUGGA